rnacentral:rRNA from 1 species
CCCUUAGAUGUUCUGGGCAGCACGCGCGCUACAAUGGUCUUCGCAAACGGAUGCAUUCUCGAAGGAGAAUGCCAAUCUUGGAAUCUAUGCCUUGGUCGGGACAGUUGCUUGCAAUUUUUCGACUCGAACCAGGAAUUCCUUGUAAUCGUGAUUCAUCAAAUCGCGUUGAUUACGUCCCUGCCCUUUGUACACACCGCCCGUCGCUCCUACCGAUUGAAUGUGUUGGUGAGGAGCUCGGAUUGGCAGCAGUUGGUGGUUCGCCACCGGCUAUUGCUGAGAAGUCCUCCAAACCGCCCCAUUUAGAGGAAGGAGAAGUCGUAACA